CGUGCCUCCCCCUCGCCCGCCCCGAUGGGCAGCCAAGCAGUGGGUGGCCCUGGAACGGAACCUAGGGUCUGGCCUUGUGGCUCUGCUGACUCAGGACACCAGCGCCCAGGCCUUGUGAUGCCAAGACCUGACCUCUCCAGCUACACAGCUUCUGGAAGUCAGCAGAUGCUAGACUGAGCCACUGCGCUCCGCCUGCUCUUCAGCCAGGGCCGAGGAGGCAGCAGGCUGAGAUCAGGAGCUGGGAAGGACCAGCUCCCCAGGAGCCAUGGGAAAGGCAGCAGUGGGGUCAGAUGCUCAGAGGAUUGGGGCCCGUUCCUGGCUGCUGCUGGAAGCACUGGCCCUGCAAGGUGACGAGCCGCUUUGCUCCACCAGGGGUGCUGGCCCUGAACCUACAGCCAAUCAGCCCGGAGAGGUCUACCUUGUGUUCCCCCAGAACCCCUUUAUGGAGCGGCUGCCAGCCAAGGUCUUUGUGAUGCUGCUCCUGCCUGUUCACCUGUCAGCUCACCAAUGGACUCCAAAAUUUUUUUGUGUAGUUCCCUGGGCAGAAACACUUUGUUUUUCCUCUGCUAUAAAUGAUCUUUUAUGAACUCCAGUUCCAAUCCUUUAAGAAAAUUUCUUCAUGAUAUUUUACACUGGUUAUUUUCUUUGUAAACUAUCUAACUAUCCCACACAUGUUAGGAUUGAGUAAAACACAACCACAGGCAAAUGCUCUGUGUUUCAAGUGACAUCAUAGCUGCUGCAUCAACAGCAUCUACUUGGUUUUGUUGUAGAAAAUUUCCAUCUCAAACUGCCAUACUGUCAAGGUUUCCCUAUCAAUAUUUCCACCAUGGUGAAAUGUUGACACCAACAGUCCCAGUUUGUUUUUCUUUGCCAUAUAUAAGACCAAAGUUAUAUCUUUCUGAAAUAAAAAGAUUGCACUAUACAAUUCUGUUUUGAAAUUGCAACAUUUCAUUUGGAAUUUCUGCUUUGUUCCUGUGUACAGUUCCUGUGCUGGUCAACUUGUGCUCUGUUAGCAAAUGUAACAUCAACUGGAACCUGGUAAACCAGAUGUUGAAUCCCACAGUCAGAUUAGUUUGGGAGAUGGGAGCAACAAGUCUCUUCACAACAUCAUUCAGUUUUUUACUAUAUGAAUAAGGACCUGAUGGCUGAGUUCCAGCAUAAAUGUGUAAAUUUAAAGCAUAACAUCUUCACAUACACAAGGGCACACAUUUUACAUCAUAUGCUGACCCAUCUCUUUUCUAUAAGUCUUUUACAUGCUUGCAAUCACCAUGAGAAAUCCAUAGUAAGUACAACAGACCUAUGAACACUUUCAGUUCAGCUAGUAUGGUGCCAUAGAUACAUUUUUUAAUAUGGCUAUUGGUGCAUACAAAAUAUUUUACUUUCAGCCUUUGUGUGUAUCAUAGCUUCUUGUAGCCUUUCAUCUGUUACAAUUUCCAACACUGAAUGGCAGUGCUAGCAUUCUGUCCAAUACCUUUCACCCCUUCCAAGACCCUCAAUACAUUUUCUGACCUAGUUCUAACACUGGGUAGUUCC
rnacentral:lncRNA from 1 species